GGGGCCGUGGCUCAGGGGUAGAGCAUCUGCUUCCCAUGCAGAGGGUCCCGGGUUCGAUGCCCGGCAGCCUCU